rnacentral:rRNA from 1 species
GAUGAACGCUGGCGGCGUGCCUAAUACAUGCAAGUCGAGCGAAUGGAUUGAGAGCUUGCUCUUAUGAAGUUAGCGGCGGACGGGUGAGUAACACGUGGGUAACCUGCCCAUAAGACUGGGAUAACUCCGGGAAACCGGGGCUAAUACCGGAUAACAUUUUGAACCGCAUGGUUCGAAAUUGAAAGGCGGCUUCGGCUGUCACUUAUGGAUGGACCCGCGUCGUACUUAGCUAGUUGGUGAGGUAACGGCUCACCAAGGCAACGAUGCGUAGCCGACCUGGGGGGGAGAUCGGCAACACUGGGACUGGGACACGGCCCAGACUCCGACGGGAGGCAGCAGUAGGGAAUCUUCCGCAAUGGACGAAAGUCUGACGGAGCAACGCCGCGUGAGUGAUGAAGGCUUUCGGGUCGUAAAACUCUGUUGUUAGGGAAGAACAAGUGCUAGUUGAAUAAGCUGGCACCUUGACGGUACCUAACCAGAAAGCCACGGCUAACUACGUGCCAGCAGCCGCAGUAA